rnacentral:lncRNA from 1 species
AAAACUGCAAUCGCAGUUUAUCAACCACUCACAAGACCACCGAGAUCUUCGACUUAGCUCCCAAAGGUAAUCCACCCGGCCCUUUCCCAACCUAUACAAGGAGAGCGGAAGAUAACGAAAGGGAGACAAGGUCCUAACUAAAUAGAACACAAACUCCCAUUCCAUCUAUCAUAUCAGUCGAGUCGAUCCGAUUCGUUCUUAUCUAUAGAUAACGCAAGAGAGAACUUAUGACCUCGCGGAUGGAGAGGGUAGAACACAAACUCCUAUUCCAUUAUCAUAUCAGUCGAGUCGAUCCGAUUCGUUCUUAUCUUAUAGAUAAUGCAAGAGAGAACUUAUGACCUCGCGGAUGGAGAGGGAUUC